UUGAACGCUGGCGGCAGGCCUAACACAUGCAAGUCGAACGGUAACAGGAAGAAGCUUGCUUCUUUGCUGACGAGUGGCGGACGGGUGAGUAAUGUCUGGGAAACUGCCUGAUGGAGGGGGAUAACUACUGGAAACGGUAGCUAAUACCGCAUAACGUCGCAAGACCAAAGAGGGGGACCUUCGGGCCUCUUGCCAUCGGAUGUGCCCAGAUGGGAUUAGCUAGUAGGUGGGGUAACGGCUCACCUAGGCGACGAUCCCUAGCUGGUCUGAGAGGAUGACCAGCCACACUGGAACUGAGACACGGUCCAGACUCCUACGGGAGGCAGCAGUGGGGAAUAUUGCACAAUGGGCGCAAGCCUGAUGCAGCCAUGCCGCGUGUAUGAAGAAGGCCUUCGGGUUGUAAAGUACUUUCAGCGGGGAGGAAGGGAGUAAAGUUAAUACCUUUGCUCAUUGACGUUACCCGCAGAAGAAGCACCGGCUAACUCCGUGCCAGCAGCCGCGGUAAUACGGAGGGUGCAGGCGUUAAUCGGAAUUACUGGGCGUAAAGCGCACGCAGGCGGUUUGUUAAGUCAGAUGUGAAAUCCCCGGGCUCAACCUGGGAACUGCAUCUGAUACUGGCAAGCUUGAGUCUCGUAGAGGGGGGUAGAAUUCCAGGUGUAGCGGUGAAAUGCGUAGAGAUCUGGAGGAAUACCGGUGGCGAAGGCGGCCCCCUGGACGAAGACUGACGCUCAGGUGCGAAAGCGUGGGGAGCAAACAGGAUUAGAUACCCUGGUAGUCCACGCCGUAAACGAUGUCGACUUGGAGGUUGUGCCCUUGAGGCGUGGCUUCCGGAGCUAACGCGUUAAGUCGACCGCCUGGGGAGUACGGCCGCAAGGUUAAAACUCAAAUGAAUUGACGGGGGCCCGCACAAGCGGUGGAGCAUGUGGUUUAAUUCGAUGCAACGCGAAGAACCUUACCUGGUCUUGACAUCCACGGAAGUUUUCAGAGAUGAGAAUGUGCCUUCGGGAACCGUGAGACAGGUGCUGCAUGGCUGUCGUCAGCUCGUGUUGUGAAAUGUUGGGUUAAGUCCCGCAACGAGCGCAACCCUUAUCCUUUGUUGCCAGCGGUCCGGCCGGGAACUCAAAGGAGACUGCCAGUGAUAAACUGGAGGAAGGUGGGGAUGACGUCAAGUCAUCAUGGCCCUUACGACCAGGGCUACACACGUGCUACAAUGGCGCAUACAAAGAGAAGCGACCUCGCGAGAGCAAGCGGACCUCAUAAAGUGCGUCGUAGUCCGGAUUGGAGUCUGCAACUCGACUCCAUGAAGUCGGAAUCGCUAGUAAUCGUGGAUCAGAAUGCCACGGUGAAUACGUUCCCGGGCCUUGUACACACCGCCCGUCACACCAUGGGAGUGGGUUGCAAAAGAAGUAGGUAGCUUAACCUUCGGGAGGGCGCUUACCACUUUGUGAUUCAUGACUGGGGUG
rnacentral:rRNA from 1 species